UACGUAGGGGGCGAGCGUUGUCCGGAUUUAUUGGGCGUAAAGGGUGCGUAGGCGGCCUUGUAAGUCAGAUGUGAAAGAUCAUGGCUUAACUGUGGUAAGCAUUUGAAACUGCAGGGCUUGAGUACAGGAGAGGAGAGUGGAAUUCCUAGUGUAGCGGUGAAAUGCGUAGAUAUUAGGAGGAAUACCAGUGGCGAAGGCGACUCUCUGGACUGAUACUGACGCUGAGGCACGAAAGCGUGGGGAGCCAACAGG
rnacentral:rRNA from 1 species